ensembl:snoRNA LOC120102770 small nucleolar RNA U3
AAGACUAUACUUUCAGGGAUCAUUUCUAUAGUUCGUUACUAGAGAUUCACAUGGGGACUCACAAGGGUAUUGUGGAAGGUUUUCAUUUGUUCCUACACAUUCUGGAAAAA